rnacentral:rRNA from 1 species
UACGGAGGGUGCAAGCGUUAUCCGGAUUCACUGGGUUUAAAGGGUGCGUAGGUGGGCAGGUAAGUUAGUGGUGAAAUCUCCGGGCUUAACCCGGAAACUGCCAUUGAUACUAUCUGUCUUGAAUACCGUGGAGGUGAGCGGAAUAUGUCAUGUAGCGGUGAAAUGCUUAGAUAUGACAUAGAACACCAAUUGCGAAGGCAGCUCACUACACGAAUAUUGACACUGAGGCACGAAAGCGUGGGGAUCAAACAGG